rnacentral:rRNA from 1 species
UACGUAGGGCGCAAGCGUUGUCCGGAAUUAUUGGGCGUAAAGAGCUCGUAGGCGGCUUGUCACGUCGAUUGUGAAAGCCCCGAGGCUUAACCUCGGGUCUGCAGUCGAUACGGGCUAGCUAGAGUGUGGUAGGGGAGAUCGGAAUUCCUGGUGUAGCGGUGAAAUGCGCAGAUAUCAGGAGGAACACCGGUGGCGAAGGCGGAUCUCUGGGCCAUUACUGACGCUGAGGAGCGAAAGCGUGGGGAGCAAACAGG